GAUGAACGCUAGCUACAGGCUUAACACAUGCAAGUCGCGGGGCAGCAUGGAUGUCCUUUCGGGGACAUCUGAUGGCGACCGGCGUACGGGUGAGUAACGCGUAUCCAACCUGCCCUUUACAACGGGACAGCCCGUCGAAAGGCGGAUUAAUACCGUAUGUUGUCAUGUUGAUGCAUAUUUUCAUGACCAAAGGCUUCGGCCGGUAAAGGAUGGGGAUGCGUCUGAUUAGCUUGCCGGCGGGGUAACGGCCCACCGGGGCGACGAUCAGUAGGGGUUCUGAGAGGAAGGUCCCCCACAUUGGAACUGAGACACGGUCCAA
rnacentral:rRNA from 1 species